rfam:Mus musculus chromosome 14, GRC primary reference assembly.
GGAGAGAUGGUUCAGUGGUUAAGAGCACUGGGUGUUCUUCCAGAAGAUCUGGGUUCAAUUCCCAGCACCU